rnacentral:lncRNA from 1 species
CCCCCGACGUCAAUGUCUUCCACAUGAUCCCCUUCUUCUCCCUCAGCCUCAUGGUCAUCCCGAUCCACCCCACCAGCACCAAUUAAAGCUACAUCGGAGAAGGCUUACAUCAACGAGACAAUGCAAGAGGAGCUGAUUGACUAACUGGAGGGGAAGGGGUUCUGGAGGAGGAGCAAGAGGAGGCUUAUAAACCUAUCACAACCAUCGCAGAGCGUAUAGAGCCGGGAGAGAAGGUGGAGGGGCUGGUCACUGAGCAAGCAAAUCCAAGCGAG